rnacentral:rRNA from 1 species
UACGUAGGGGGCAAGCGUUGUCCGGCUUUAUUGGGCGUAAAGAGCUCGUAGGCGGCCUGUUGCGUCCGCUGUGAAAGCCCGGGGCUUAACCCCGGGUCGGCAGUGGAUACGGGCAGGCUAGAGGUAGGUAGGGGAGAAUGGAAUUCCCGGUGUAGCGGUGAAAUGCGCAGAUAUCGGGAGGAACACCGGUGGCGAAGGCGGUUCUCUGGGCCUUACCUGACGCUGAGGAGCGAAAGCUAGGGGAGCAAACAGG